UCCCUGGUGGUCCAGUGGGUAAGACUCCGCGUUGCCAAUGCAGAGGGCCCGGGUUCCAUCCCCGGUCAGGGAA